GCAAAUUUGAAAGGGCAUUUUUUUUUCUUUCUUUUUCAUUUUAUUCCUUUCAGCAUGCUUUCUGUUACAAAUACAUCUGGAGUAGUUACAUGGACACAGUGCCAGUAACAUGCCCUAUGUGGCUGCAGAAUUAAGGAAGAAACAUCUGGAAUCAACUUCUAUUUCCUUCAGUACUUCCAGAAAUAACCAUGGACCUAUAUGACGGCCAGAAUGGUAAGGAAUAAACGUAGAGAGCGGGUAUAAAAGGACCGAGAGACUCCAGGAGUGAGCAUGGGAUGUGACUCAGAGGAAACCUGGCUGGGGAUAAGAAAAUGGGACAUGGAGCCAUUCAGUCUGAUUAUUUGGGCCUGCAGUCACCAACAUAAGUGCUAAGGGAUGGCCUUUCCCUGACUUAUGUGAAAGAAAUGGAUGGACUUGGUAACCUUCUAUUGUACAGGCCCAAGGAAUUUUUCCUAAAGGUUUAUUUCAUGUCCCAUAAGGAUAAAAGAUCUGCACUGAAGAUUUUGGAAGACAUAUGAACCCUUUAAAGGCUAGUACCAGGAGCCUGCAGGUCUGAAAGGUGAACAAUCAGCAGAGGAAAUCAGUAAUGUAACAAGAGUUUAAUUAACUUUACCCAAAUGAAUGUUAACUUACUUGUUCUUCUCCUUUGCCUUUUUCUAUAUUUAACAUAUCUUUCUCUGUCUGGUUAUUUAUUAGUUGGAUAAAUCUUAAAAAGAAAAAAAAGAAAAUCUUUAUUUCAGUAAAAUCCUGUUUUCAUUGGAGCAGCUCUAAGUCUGUCAGGAAGAAAAAGCUCUGGUCUUUUAUGGUUUUGUUUUGCCAUACUUACUGCACUGGGCUUCAAGUCUGUCUUGAGUCCAUGAGCAAAAUGUAUCUGAUGGCAACUAAUGUUAUAUGGGGUACGGUCUUUGUCAUGCAGAAGAGCUAAAACACAAAAAAAAAAAAAGAAAAAAAAUCCUGGCUAAAAUAGGUGACAAUGACUUGCACUGUGUUGAAGCCAGACAUUUAUUCUGUAAACACAGGAGAUUAUAUUCCCUUGUAAAUAAACACACUAUAACAUAUAGAUGGCUCAUGCCCUCUUUUGCUUGAUGAAGGAAACUUCUUUCAGUUCAUCUACAUUCAUAUUGCCUCAAAGCCAUUGGCAUCCAGAUGCCCUUUUGAGGACUGUGCUGUUCAAAAUGAACUAAUGGCAGGACUCAACCAGCCUUGGUGAAGGCAGCUCAUCAUGUAGUAAUAUAUUUCAGUGGCUCUUCUAGCACUACUGAUGUCACUGUCUAAUUCACUCUGAUGGGCUGACUCCUCUGCAGUGAUAUGCUGAUUUUGGUAUGUUACUGAAGUCACCAAAGAGCACGUAAUAAAUGUGACAUUUUGUGAUGAAAUUAUUUUUUUGUUAAAGACACUUUUUAAACUGAA